GCCCCUCCUCAGCCUUCUUUCCGUUAAGCUCACUGCGGGCUUCAAGGUUGGCCACACGCCCUCAAGGCAGCAGCAGGCUCGCCAGUCGAGAGGCUGUGGAGGCCGGAGACUCGAAGAGCUAAACUGUUGCCCAGGCCUUGAACUGUAGCAGAGCCAUAUAUUCUUGUGGUGACCGUGGCCUUAGGAAAAGAAUUCUUCCUCUAGGAUGAUUGUGUUGGAGCUGCGCAAGCCUUAUAUAAUGCAACCAGCCUAUGGGGUGGCCUUGGGGGAACCGCUGGAACAUUUCAAACCUUGUCCUGGGCAGGGGGUUAUAUGGUGGAUGUUAAAUUGGGUAAAAUUUGUAGUUACACCCAUAAAUACAGAGUAUGAGCUGAUGACUUCUCUUUAGCUCAAGGUUGAGGAGUUUUAGCCAAGUUUUCUGAUUCCAAGGGGGGAGCAGACAUGCCUUCUGCUAUGAGUGACUGAUGGGAUCAUUGCCAUCAGUUUAGUGAAACCUCCACCCAGAUAGGGUUUCAUGGACUCGGCCUCUGUACCCAGAUUCCUGUCCCCACGAGACAAGCCUAGGGGUUCCCGUCAUUCAGGCCAUCUCUAUUUUCUUUCGUUCCUUUCUUUUCCCUAUCAAAGUCCUCUCCUUCUUCAUCUCUUAGGAUAAAAUAGUUUAACCUCUCUUCCCCUUCUUACUAGAUAUGAGGAAUUCCCCAAAUGACUUUUGAUGUCAUUGGAGAAGUCACUUGGUUAGGGUUAGGGUUAACAGUUAAGCAUGCUGUUAGGUUCAGGGGAUGAGACAAAAGACUAUUGCCCUCCAGUGGGUUCCCUCCCUAAUGGGAGGAAGAGUUUGGUGUCUUAAGGCAGACAUUCUGGCUUAUAGGUUAAGCGGGAUAUGUGAGCUGCAUUAAGGCUCUGAAGUUUGUUGAUGAGGCAAAAUUUGUGGUGGUCCUGCACUUGGAGUCCUGAAAUGAUAUUAGACUGGAUCUGGAUGUGGGCUCACCAGAGUUGCUGGGCAUUGUGGGGUUGGGGAUGGGUGUUUUUCCCAGAAACCAGAACUGGGGAAGUAAAAUAGAUAAUACCUGGGGUAGUGAGAAAGGCUGCCUUUAAGGUCCUGUGGUGGGGCCGCUCUUAGAACUUGUUUUAAAAUAGGUUAAGCCAGUAUAGGGACUGUUCACAUCCAUGGUCAUAGUCAUUAGAAAAGACUUAACUGCAGUCCUCAGGGACCCAAAGGAAAAGAGGAUGGCACAUCACUGCUGAUAGUUGUUCCUGACCUAAGAGACACAUGUGGGCUUAACAGCAAGACUAAUUCUUCCUUUCUCCUGAAUUAUUAUUACCCUGUCUCUGUAACUGGGCCUGGAAGAUAGAAUCAAUAUUGCAGAGAGAAUGGCAGUCAAAUGCAAUUUUAAGGGCUGUUAAGAGUUUGGGAUCCAAUCCUGAGAUUGAAUGCCAUUUAGCAUUCAAGGUCUGGCAAGUGGGUGUCAGAGUAGCAGGAGUCUGGUGGAGAAGGGGACAUAUGAUAUUCGUUGGGCAUUUUGUCAGUAUAAAUGGCAUCUCCAUGGUCUGCUUACAUCUUCUGCCUAACAGAAAGGACCCUGGAUGGAUGUAUGAUGUCAGCCAUUUUCUAAACUGGGAAAAUCUUUUUUGGUAAUUUGCUGUUUUGAUCUCUUAGCUCUGCCCUCCAUGUUUGUAUCAGCAAAGUGCCUAAAGUUAACCUGUGCUGUCGUCCCCCCACUGAAAACCUGCCCUCUAUGCGGUUAAACUAGACAAAGUGGGAAAGAGUGUUGGAUUCUGGUGGGAACCUGGGGUUGAAUUGGUAAGGAUCGUAAGUCUUGUCCCUUCCUCCAGCUGUGAGAUCAUCUGAUGAGGCCAGACACUUUUGGAACCCAGAUUAGAAUGGGGAUGAGGGAGUUUGCAGAGGCAUCAGCCCUGAGGGAGUUUGCAUUACGAUCAGAAAACAGGGAGGGAUGUGAGAUGCAUAUCAGUGGUGCUGAGCCCUCCCAGGGCUCUGCUGCAGCCUUAGGAUGCUAGCUGGGGCCUUUGCUGUCACUCAGAACAGGGCCUCAAGCUGCCUCUUUGGAGCAGUGUGCAGAAAAAGCACCAGGUAUCCUCGUGUUGAAUGAGGAGACAUACCCCUGAAAGCAUCAGUUCCUAGGUUGAUGGUAACUAGAAGAGUUUUUGGGGUAACUUUGAACAAGCCAGAGAAUAGGUUAGAAAAUACAUGAAUGGAAAUGUCUUGUUCUUUGUGAUAAGACAAAGGCAGAGGGGAAAGAAUGAUUUCUAUUUACUGAACCCUUGGGCCUUGCUUUUGUGGGCCUCUUCUUCUUGGCUAUUGCUUCAUUUUUCAUCAUUUUUGAGGUAUUCCUCUUUUUAGGAUUUUUUUUCUUCUCACUUGCUUUAGGUCUGUCAAUCCUUACCAUAAAGGAAAAAUAAAUGAGGCCAUGAAUGACGAAAAAACUAGAGUAAGGAGAGGAAAAACCAGGAAAAUUGUAGAGAAUAAAAGCAUUAGGGAAUUUAGGCUACAACAGCAGAGAGAGGAGAAGAACUUGGGGGGAGGGGAAUUAGGAGGAAAAGUUGAUUCAGGUUAGAGAUUAUGUGAAAGGAAAGAUAGAGGAAUAUUGAGGAAAGGGCAAAGGCUAGGAAGAGGGGGUCAGCUAGGGCAGAAGCAUAAGAAACGCCCAGACAAAACAGGAAGAACUAAACCUCCUUCCCUCUGUCUCUACUUGGCUACUCUCCUCUCUCUUUUCCUUCUGUAGAGCUUGUUGGCUACAAGCCAAGUCCUGAAUAGGUACUGAGGAUAGAAGAUGAGCAAGAGUCCUUCCCUGCUCCACAAGAGGCCAUAUGUAGUGGGGAGAUAAUGUCUAGGCUGUCUGUAGGAUUGUGGGGUGAGAAGUGGGUUUCUAGGAACUCCCUUUUCCAUGUAUAGGUAAGGAGGGGACUAAGAAAAUGAAGACUUCUGCCCCUGGAAUGGAUCCUGAAGUUUUCUCUUUUAAUUGUUAUUGGCCCAGGGUGGAAGACCAGCUGAUAUGUAUGGUCUAAGGCUUCAGACUCUCCUCACUGCUGCUCCUUGGGUUGUAUCUUGGGGAACUGUUAUAGGCACCCGGCAGGGGUCUGAAGUGAGUCAGGGAUAGGAUGUUUCCUGUGUCUGGGUGCCACACCCACAAGGCACCGCCAGAGGGGUCGAUGAUCACAUCUUUCCCUGAAGUACUUCUGUGAGGUUGCAGGUCGUUCAGCAGCAACGCACCUUGGGCUCUUGCUUGGCUGUCAUGCUAUGUGCAAAAGAGAGUAAAAAGAAGUUGUGAGAAAAUUGGGAAGCACAAAGAAGGAUGAAGAAGCAUCUUUAUCCCAAAAUAACAACAACAAAAAAAAUAAUCAUCUGAAGAACAAUUUGGUAUCCAAUUUAUGGGUUCCUAAAGUCCAGGAAGCCCAAAAAACAGAGAACAAUACCUCCCCCUCCUCUUUUGUAGAAGAGACCGCCAAUAUUUAAGGGUUGUUAAGAGUCUUUGCUGAGACUGGGGAGGGGGUGGUGGGACAGAGCAGAAAGAGCCGAGGUUCUCACCCCUUGAUGGGAGAGACUUUUGGGGGGAGGUACUUUUAUGAAGGUAUUUAAGAGCUUCCAUAUCCUUGCAGGUGGGAGAGUGUACAGAAAGUUUCCAGAACGAUAGCCUUCUGAGAGAGUAAAGGUUUACUACGUAUCUAGCUUUUUAGUUUUAUAAAGCAGACAAUGAAAAGUAACUGAGUUUCGGGCAACAGGGUUGGUGGGUUUUGAGUGGAUCUGGGAACUCUUUCCUUCAUGGUCUGUUUUGAAGGUAUUCCCUUCUGUUGAAGCAAAUUGAGAGAGGGUCUCAAGGUCCCCUGGCCAGAGUCCAAAAGACCCUGAAACUAAUGUACUGAGUGGAUGGACACUCUAACCUAUAGACACAAAGUCAGAUGAAGGACAUUAGCUGCACUGCUGUCAUUUUACCAAAUAUUUUGAAGAGUGUUUUGUGUACCAAAGUCCUGUAAUGAUGGGCAGAAUGUUAAGCUGGAUAGAUGUCUUCACUACAAGAGCAGCACCACCAUAUUUUGCUACAUUAACAUGGGCCUUUGAAAACUUUCAAAAAAAUUGCCACAGUCUUUGGACAGUAUUUAGUUUUUACUGACCCAGCCCAGCAACAAUGGCACGAAGUCACAAGAGAUUCCCCAUCUUCAUUUCUUUGAGCAGAUAGCCAGGGGAGGAGUUCUGGGUCAUUGAGGGUGUGACCAGAGACUUUAUGGAGAUUCUGGAAUCUCUGACUUAUGAAUUGAUUAGGGGUUUUCUCACCUGGCUUUGCCCUACUGGAGGUGUUUCUCUGGCCAUUUAGCAAGUUUCCUGACAUCUUUGUCUUCCUAUGACUUUUCCAAAUCUUUUUCUAGCUCUCAUAGCUCCCUUUUGGUAUACAUUAUGCCUUUCCCUAAGAUGUUACUGGCUGUUCUCACAACUAAGCUGGUCUUUGGGAAAAGGCCAAUAUUUCCUAAUUAUGGAAAAAACAAAAACCUGUGUAUCUUACCACUUCUGGCAUCUGGUUUUGUUUUCCUUUAAAUGGUGUUUAGUGUCUGGACUCCAAAGCCUGUAAUUCUAAUGACAUUUUUCUGGUAACCCUGCCUGGGAUUAAUGCUUGCAGCGUGUGGUGACCCAAGGACUAAAGAACCGAUAAAACCGAGGCGGGUCUUGGAAUGGAGUAACGGAGAAACCAGACCCUUAUGGUCCUUCCCUCCCCCAUAUUGUAGCUAUUAACGGAUUUCAGGUCCUCCUGAGCAGUAUAACCUCUGUCCCAUCCUACCCCCCACAGGGAGAAGGUAUUCGCCUUGCUCUUCCCCCACCCAGUAUACGUGCCUCAUCCUAUCAGCAAAUGACCUGCAAGACCCCUGCCCUCUCCUUGUACCCUGGCUAUAAAAGUGGACUAAGGAUCCCUGUUCAACGUCCGUUCUCUCGAGCUGCCCACAGUUCUAACAGUAUCUCCCAGUCUAAUAAAUUAUUUCCCUCUCAUUCUGUCUCAAGUCUGGACAUUCUUUUCCAACCUGUGCCUGGACCAUGACACAGAGUACAACUAUAAAUAGCACGAUAGGUGCCAAUCUGCAGUCUCUUAUAGUCCUCUUAGACUUGACGUUCAGUUUUAAAAAUAACUGCUUGUUGAAAGGGGUUGCCAAUGAGUUUUCCCUGGGUAGAAUCUUCAUUCCAAAAUGGGAAAUAUUAUUUGUGAAACUGUUUUGAACAGGGGACAAAAAGCCUAUGUUCUGGUCCAGGCUGCAGACUAUUAGCUCUGUGAAUUUUGGCACAUCUUCAGAUUGCAUUGGGUUUUGGUUUCCUUAUGGGUAAAAUUGGGAUAUUAUACCUACCUCACAGGGUUGUUGUGAGGAUUAAAUGUGCUCUAUAAUAUGUCAUACCUUAUAAAUAUUUGCAAAUUUUUGUUAGGAUAUAAGAGUUCUUUAAGAAUAUUCCCUUGCCACAUAGCAGAUAUGCUGACAUUUCUACUAUCAGAUUAAAGAUUUUCAUUGUCAUGUAUUGCAUAGUUGUCUCUGGAACAAAAUUUUAUGUUUUUAGGUAAAUAUUUCUGGGUAGAAAAGAUUCAUGGCUUUCAUGUUUCCUAAAGAGGGGAUUCAUUGACCUAAAAAUGUUAAAAUUCAGCACUUCAGAAUUGGAAAGUUGGAUUCAGUAACAGAAAUUUAUUGCUUCCAGAAGGUCCCUUUUAACAUGUCUGCAGUAGUACUUGAAAUGUUUUUUUAGAUAGUCAAAUUCUUAAUGUGACCUGAUGACUAUACAGAAUAUUUUGAAAUCAAGGCUGAAAAUCUUGGACAUAUUGUCAUGGUAGCAAUUAGAUUAUCCAAUUGCCUACAGUGUGAGGGUAGGUGUACAACAAAUUAUUAACUUAUAUGGCCCUAGGAAAGUCACCUGACCUCAUAGAGUCUGUUACCUUAUUUGUGAAGUAAGAGAUUUGACCUUGAAUGUUUUCAAGGUUGAAUUCUAAGUUGAAUUCUCUAGGAGAGUGAGACCGAAGUUGGACUUUGAUGGAACCCUACUGAAGACGAAAUGAACGAAGCUCUGUGGAAGAGGAAAGAGAGGGAGUGUCUGGGUGAGCAUCCAGGAAACCAACCCUCCGUAAAAGUGGAAAUGGGGACCUGCUAAGGUGAAGAGCCAGAGUAGUCUGGGCAGUCGAAGAGCUGGGGGCUACUUUAAGGAUAAAAGACUUUGAUGCACCAGAGGCUUAGCCUCCAACUUUCUCCAUGGGACUGACUUGCCAGAACACAAGCUGUUCCUCAGCAGGAGAACACAUCAUCUCCCAGAACUUUCAAAACUUCUUCCAGCUUUCACAGGAGCAAGUGCCUGGAGUCUUCCCACUUUCCACGUCAGUUAGCUAUUUCUAGGACCUGCUGCCCUACAGACAUCUGAAGCUACAAACAUUGAAAUACCUGGCUCCCAGGUUAAGAAACAGCACUGUCUGAGACUUGCUUCUUUGGAAACAAACCAGGCCCCGUUCCAGGAGGAUUUUCAUGUGGAAGGUGAAUGGACACCAACCAGAGACUAGAGACGCUGAGAACAAGGACCCCCUGCGUUGCUCUGUCUCCUCAGUGAGAGGGCAAGUGUGCUUUUAAGUGUGGGAUAUUUGAGUUCUUUUGUGUGAGGUUUCCUUGAAACUGUGCAUUUCCACUCACGAAACAAAUGGUGCCAUAGAAUGCCUGGCACUAAGGUAUAAAUGACUUAUUGAAACCUUCCCGACAUUUGUGUUAUCUUACAACAUAUGUACUUCAAGGCGAUACUAGAGCAUUGUGAUAAAGUGGACUUUUGAUGACAUAUGAUCUGACAAAGCAUUUAUUUGUGUGAAAUAUCUUUCAAAGAUGACACAAACUAAUAUUUAGUACUAUAUGUUUUAGAUAAGGAUUUCUUCAUAUUACUUGUAUACAAAAAUGUCAUAUAACUUGAAGCCCUCACUUGCAAAGGGCAGCAAUAAGUGUUAUGUAUUAGCCAUUGGAGGGCCCUUCACUAUUGAGACUGUACCAAGGCCCAAAGUCUUAACUCUGAGAAAAUAUUCAAGGGAGUGUGGGGAGCUUUUGUUUUUUAGUCCAUUGGUUCAUCUUGAAAAUGCCUGAACUCCACUGACCCUGGGCUGGGCUGGCUGCAGUGAAUUUACCACUGCUACUCUCAAAAGCUAUGUUCAUGGUAUAUAGCUUCCCAUGGGGCCAUUAUAUUUUCUCCUUUCCAAUAUGCCUCUAUCUCAGGGAUGCUGAAUGUGAGUAGAGUGAUAAUAUUAUUAUAUUAGCUACCAUCCAAAGUGGAAAGCCCAACCACCUCAGUGGAUCCAGAAUCUGUCUUUUUUUCAAAUUGGGCACUGCGUCCUUAGAGCCUUGUUGGGUCUCUGUCAUCUAGUCAAAGUGGUGACGAAGGGGAUUAUUCAAGCUGGUUUGUCUGCAACUAGCUUGAAACAUGCACACGGUGUCAUUCCAACUGUGAACCAGAAAGUAUGACUCAAGACAGAUGUCAGAUUGUACUUCUAUAUAGAGAGACUUUCAGUUUUUACCAAGGCACUCCAGUCAUCUCUCUUAAAAAAGACCCCCUUCACAGCACACAGAACUUUAAAAGUAGAAGGCAGAGGGACAUGGCAGAUUAUGCUAACAGUAUUUGAAUAAAAUAUAUUUAAGGGAAAUGCUAAUUGCAGAGAAUAUCUGGCAUUUUAAGAGAAAAAAAUUGCUCUUAAGUUGAACCAAGUUUUAUCCUUUGUAUUAUGGAGAAUGAAAAGUAUCUUAUAGCCCUUUAAAUUUCCUUAAGCAGCAACUGUUCUUUAGUAAAUCUGGGAAAGCUUCAUGGAUGAGGCAAGACCCUGGCCAAAUUGAGAAAUUUCAUGUUUCCCUUGGGAAACAAAUAAAUUUGAAUAGUCUUGUUAAAAAGCAGAGGUGUAAAGGUGAUCUCUCGUUGCUUAUGUGGUGGACAGUUGAUAUGGUUCCUAUGAUGAUUCCUGUCUGUCCCAGCACUGAAGUUGUGCCAUCUUCUCAAUUGAUGAGAAUGGAUACUGCUGACAGUAAUCAUAGCAACAGGAAUAAUGUCCCACUUUUGUUUGCCAUGUGGCUGAACCUGGCUAAUAUCAUGAAUCUCGGAAGUCCCAGGUUAAAUACCACUAUUUACUGUAAUAUUUUCUGUCUUCUCCAUACAAAAUUGAUCCUCUUUGGCUUUUCCAAAAUGCUUGUUUGUGUGUGUGUGAGUGUGUUCCAUUACAUGUGAAAAGUUUUCUCAUAAAACUUACAGAAAAUGUACAUAAUUCCAUAGCUCCAGAGGGAGUAGUUUGAGAAGCAUGGUGCUAAAUAAUAACUGAUUACAGCUCACUGAGUGCCUAUCUAGUAAGGCAUCAGAUGGUGCUCUGUGAGGAGGAAUUUCUGAAACCUGGAAUAAAGGGAGAUUUGGGGAGCACCACUCAGGCAGCAAUCACCUUAUUAGUUGUAUCUUAUUCUAACAAAAAUUUGUUGGGGCUUCCCUGGAGGUUCAGUGAUUAAGACUUCAUGCUUCCAAUGCAGGAGACACAGAUUCGAUCCCUUGUUGGGGAAACCUAAGACUUGGCAUGUCACAUCACAAAAAAGAAAAAAAACAUUUUAAGUUGCUACUGACUGGGCCUUUGGAAUUAGUUCCAAGCUCAAGUUACACUUUACACUCUUGUUUAUUGCAGGUAGAAGAAUACCUCCUAGAUAGCUGAGAAGAUGAAAUGAUAAUUGAGAUAUAUUUAGUGUUCUCUGAAAUUUCUGUAAACAUUACCUAAUAUUCUAAAAGCGUUUACCUAGGUUUGGAUUGAUCUGUAUGAGUUACAAACUAGCUUGUGCUUUUCCUUGUUAACAUAGAGUAACCACUGACUGCAUCUUAAUUUUGGCCACUGAUCAUUAAAAACCAAGAAUAAAUUAAUCAAAGACACAACUGCACAUGUCAUUAACAGUAAACCAUUCUUCCUUAAAGGCACUUUUCCCAAGUUACUAAUCUUCUUCCUUGGGAAUAGGUCAGAAUCCUUCCAUCACAUGCUCAGUUCAACUCAAGUCAACAUCUGGCAUGUAGGUGCAACGGGCAGUUCCCGUGCAGCGUCCCAGGACAGGCGUGAGGGCUUUUCCCAUGGGAAGAUGUUAAUGUCUGUCUGCAACAGCAUGUCGUUUCCUUAACUUUCUCUGAGCUGAUAGACUUCGGUGACAUGGACUGACAUACACACAGCUAAGUGGUUGGAUUUAAUGGCCUUGCAGCACACAGGGCUCAUUGGAUGUACUCUUUUGUCAGCCCAAAUGAGCCGCUCUUGUGCCCCCACUUUUCGGUGGUGGUCCUAGGAAAGCCCCAGGUAAAACUGUAAUGUUAGUGGGUGUCCUGUGAGACAAUUGCUUUUUCAAAUUGUUCAUACUUUGGGGGAGUAUUUCAGAGAACUCAUGUUUCCUGACAAAUGUCUAGACUAGAAAGAAACAGGAGAAAUUAUUUUUAAUAUUGUAUAUUGUUUAACACAAUAUAUCCAAAAUAUUAUCAUCUCAAGAUGUAGUAUUAAAAUUAUUAAUGGUAUAUUUUACAUUUUUAAUACUAAAGCUUUGAAAUCUUGUACUUUACAGUUAAAGCACACUGCAGUUUGAACCAGCCACAUUUUAAGUGCCCAAAAGUCACAUGUGGCUGAUGGUCAGUGUUUUGAACAGCACAAGUCUAAACCUUCUUCUUUUACUCAGACCUGUCCUUCCCUAAAUUUCCUGGGCUCUGAAGUGGCCAGUAUAAUAUACAAAUUCCAUUUAAAGUCCUGUUCCUAAUUUCUUCCCCUGGUGAUUAAACAAAUCACUACUUGAUUAACAUAGUCAUAAGGCCUGCUCUUCCCAAACUGUAUCUGCCCUUCAGAGAAGAAACAGUUGUUUUGUCCUAUUACAGAAGUAACAUGCUUAUUGGGUUGAUCAGAAAAUACAUUUAAGCAAGAGGAGAAAAAUUUGAAUACGCCAUAAUCCCAUCACUGUCCAGAGAUAACUACACACCCUGUUUUAGUGGCCAUUCUGAAAGGCUUCAUAUGUAUAUCUUUCCCCAGAAAUGAGAUCAUACGGUGCACAUUGUUUUCUUAUAUUGUCAGCCAUAACUUCAGUUUAAGUGAUCUCUAACAUAAUGGAUAUUAUUGUGUUGUUUAGUUGCUAAGUUGUGUCUGACUUUUUUGUGACCCCCAUGGACAGUAGC